CAUGUUAAAUAACCGAUCAAACCGAAAAACCGAAAAACCGGUUUAAACAUGUUAACCCAACCCAGCAGGCAGCAGCCCAACCCCAUCAAUCGAUUUCGCUGAACCCCUUCGUUCAUCCCGUUCUCCACAUUCUGCAAUCUCCUCUCCCGAACCCGAUUCCCCCCGAACCCCUAUUCUCUCUCUCGAAUCCCGAUUCCUUCCCCUGGCCUCUCUUUCUCUUUCACGUCGAUCGUCAAUCUUUUUCUCGUCGACCUCCGACCGCCGACCGUCGACCAUCAACCUCUUUCCCGUCGAUUUGGUGAGUUUCACCGCCGACCGUGAACUGAUCUCUUGAGAGCAAAGAUCCCUCGGAUGGAUGGUGCUUGUUGGUUUUGUGGCAUUAGUUGUUUUUUUAUGAUAAAAAUCAAUACUUGAAGUCUUUUCAUUUUAGAAUGAACUGACCCUGAGUUUUCUUUUUAUCCAGUUUUUUCUUUCCCAUUAUAUGUUGAGCUUUCUGUGUGAUUUGCCUUUUUUUGGUGUCUACAGAGACAAAGACCCUGUCUGGAUUUUGAUGUUUGAGGUUACUUGUUUUGAUGUACAAUGUAAAGUUUUCUUGUU